rnacentral:rRNA from 1 species
UGCAAGUCGAGCGGAAACGAUGAUAGCUUGCUAUCAGGCGUCGAGCGGCGGACGGGUGAGUAAUACUUAGGAAUCUACCUAGUAGUGGGGGAUAGCACGGGGAAACUCGUAUUAAUACCGCAUACGACCUACGGGAGAAAGGGGGCAGUUUACUGCUCUCGCUAUUAGAUGAGCCUAAGUCGGAUUAGCUAGAUGGUGGGGUAAAGGCCUACCAUGGCGACGAUCUGUAGCUGGUCUGAGAGGAUGAUCAGCCACACCGGGACUGAGACACGGCCCGGACUCCUACGGGAGGCAGCAGUGGGGAAUAUUGGACAAUGGGGGAAACCCUGAUCCAGCCAUGCCGCGUGUGUGAAGAAGGCCUUUUGGUUGUAAAGCACUUUAAGCAGUGAAGAAGACUCCGUGGUUAAUACCCACGGACGAUGACAUUAGCUGCAGAAUAAGCACCGGCUAACUCUGUGCCAGCAGCCGCGGUAAUACAGAGGGUGCAAGCGUUAAUCGGAAUUACUGGGCGUAAAGGGAGCGUAGGUGGCUCGAUAAGUCAGAUGUGAAAUCCCCGGGCUCAACCUGGGAACUGCAUCUGAUACUGUUGAGCUAGAGUAUGUGAGAGGAAGGUAGAAUUCCAGGUGUAGCGGUGAAAUGCGUAGAGAUCUGGAGGAAUACCGAUGGCGAAGGCAGCCUUCUGGCAUAAUACUGACACUGAGGCUCGAAAGCGUGGGUAGCAAACAGGAUUAGAUACCCUGGUAGUCCACGCCGUAAACGAUGUCUACUAGUCGUUGGGUCCCUUGAGGACUUAGUGACGCAGCUAACGCAAUAAGUAGACCGCCUGGGGAGUACGGCCGCAAGGUUAAAACUCAAAUGAAUUGACGGGGGCCCGCACAAGCGGUGGAGCAUGUGGUUUAAUUCGAUGCAACGCGAAGAACCUUACCUGGUCUUGACAUAUCUAGAAUCCUGCAGAAGAUGCGGGAGUGCC